CCCUUAGAUGUCCUGGGCCGCACGCGCGCUACACUGACAUGUUCAACAAGUUUCUCCUAGUUCGACGGGACUGGGAAAUCUUUGAACGCAUGUCGUGAUAGGGAUAGAUCAUUGCAAUUAUUGAUCUUGAACGAGGAAUUCCUAGUAAACGCGAGUCAUCAGCUCGCAUUGAUUACGUCCCUGCCCUUUGUACACACCGCCCGUCGCACCUACCGAUUGAAUGUUUCGGUGAAGAUUCCGGAUAGGACUGAUUUGAUUUAUUUCAUUUCUGACCUAAAAGCUAUCUAAACCUCAACAUUUAGAGGAAGGUGAAGUCGUAACA
rnacentral:rRNA from 1 species